rnacentral:rRNA from 1 species
CCUACGGGCGGCAGCAGUGAGGAAUAUUGGUCAAUGGACGAGAGUCUGAACCAGCCAAGUAGCGUGAAGGAUGACUGCCCUAUGGGUUGUAAACUUCUUUUAUAAAGGAAUAAAACGAGGCACGUGUGCCUUUUUGCAUGUACUUUAUGAAUAAGGAUCGGCUAACUCCGUGCCAGCAGCCGCGGUAAUACGGAGGAUCCGAUCGUUAUCCGGAUUUGUUGGGUUUAAAGGGAGCGUAGAUGGGUUGUUAAGUCAGUUGUGAAAGUUUGCGGCUCAACCGUAAAAUUGCAAUUGAUACUGGCAGUCUUGAGUACAGUUGAGGUAGGCGGAAUUCGUGGUGUAGCGGUGAAAUGCUUAGAUAUCACGAAGAACCCCGAUUGCGAAGGCAGCUUACUAAACUGUGACUGACAUUGAUGCUCGAAAGUGUGGGUAUCAAACAGGAUUAGAGACCCUUGUAGUC